rnacentral:lncRNA from 12 species
ACGUUUAUUCAUAUCUUGCUAUGAUUUUAUUCCCUCUCUGUAUUCCCAUGGCAUUUUGAUAACAUUACUUGCUUACCUGUAAAACACAGAUUUUGCUUCUGUCUCCCUAAAUGAAUCACAAGGCUUUUUGAGGGCAUGAAAUGUAUCUACACACAGAGUUUGGCACAAAGUAGAGUUGACUGUUUUAUGUUUUAAAUAUGCAUUUUCAGGCUAACAUGUUCAUUUGGUAUCCACCAGUCACAUCAUAACUGGUUAUCUAGGUCAAUAAAAUCUGUUUUCAUUCUAUUGCUCUUAUGAAUAUUCUGAAUUAUUUCUUUACCAUGAAAGCAGAGAUUUAAAUAAGAUGAAUGUGGAGAAAAGCCCCUCCUCAGUUUUUGGAAAUCAGACCAAGGGAGCUGCACCAGUGUGCCACUUACUUCAACUUGGUAUCAACAAAAAUGUAUGGAAGACAGCUAUCAGAAUGACAGCACCACUGAACCUGCCAAAAAUUACAAAUGACUGGGCAAAAGAAGAUGUAAAUAGAUGGUUGGAAAGUCAUAGAAUUGAUCAAAAAUAUAGGAAAACCUUGCCUGCAAAAGAUGCACAUGGAGCAAUCUUGAAGUGGUAAAAAUCACCUUGUUGAUUUGGGCAUAUCACAUGGACAUUCAACCUAUUCAAGAUUUACAGAAAACAUCUUCUGAAGAUCCUAUUCAGACAUGUAAGAUGAAAAAGGUAGUAAAAAUGUUCCUAAAAUACAACCUUUUAUGCAAGAGGAAAAUGGAGAAAUUUCAAAGCAAAAACAAAAUGAUAAAGAGAAAUCAGCUAUAGCUAAUGCCUCUACAAUGAGUACAGUUACUAAAGGUUCUCAGCCACUAAAAACUAAGUUCAUGGAAGAUGAAAUAGCUGACACAAAGGAAAAUCAGCCAUCCAGAGAAUUAACAUGUGUAUCAUACUUUUUGAUGAAUUCGUGACUCAUAUCACUACAAAUUGAGUUUUAGUCUGCAUCCUGAAACAGGACCACCACUCAACUUCAUUGAUCCAAUACAUGAAUUCAAAGCCUUCACAAAUAGCCACAGAAAAAAUGUUAAGGUGAAAUUUAGCAACAAAUUUUUCAAUUUGCUUCAGCUUGUAUGAAAUUCACCUACUAAUGGCACCAUUCAUUUUGGAGUCAAAGGCAAACCCCAUGGAAAAACUGUUGACAUGAAAGUCACCAAUUGCACCAAGAAAGCCCUUACUGACCGAUUCAAACUGAUGAUCCACUAGUAUUUUGAAGACCAUCAGGUCCAAAAAGCAAAGAAGUACAAUUGAGAGCCAAGGUUUGUAGACAUUUUACUGCCGAAUAGUAAAAUCUGUCUGACAGAUUUGUUAUUGAAGUGAAUGUCAUUCCAAAGUACUCUGAAUGUGAACAUGACUAUUUCUAGACUAAGAUACAAAAUCACAACAACAGAACAGGGAAACAAAAUCCAAAACAUUUAGUCUUCAUGCAAGAUGGGGCCAACUCUAAGGACAUGAUGAAAAAUAAUGAAGAUUUCAGAGCAUUUAAAUUAGAUUUAAAAGCACUAGCAGGUGUAGAAAAGAGGCAGAAGAAAAAGCAAAGUGAAAAAAAUAAAAAGGAGAGUAAGGGAUGAACA